GAUGAACGCUGGCGGUCUGCUUAACACAUGCAAGUCGAACGGAAUCCUUAGGGAUUUAGUGGCGGACGGGUGAGUAACACGUAAGAACCUGCCUCUAGGACGGGGACAACAGUUGGAAACGACUGCUAAACCCGGAUGAGCCGAAAGGUAAAAGAUUAAUCGCCUAGAGAGGGGCUUGCGUCUGAUUAGCUAGUUGGUGAGGUAAGAGCCCACCAAGGCGACGAUCAGUAGCUGGUCUGAGAGGAUGAUCAGCCACACUGGGACUGAGACACGGCCCAGACUCCUACGGGAGGCAGCAGUGGGGAAUUUUCCGCAAUGGGCGAAAGCCUGACGGAGCAAGACCGCGUGGGGGAGGAAGGUUCUUGGAUUGUCAACCCCUUUUCUCAGGGAAGAACACAAUGACGGUACCUGAGGAAAAAGCAUCGGCUAACUCCGUGCCAGCAGCCGCGGUAAUACGGGGGAUGCAAGCGUUAUCCGGAAUGAUUGGGCGUAAAGAGUCCGUAGGUAGUCAUCCAAGUCUGCUGUUAAAGAGCGAGGCUUAACCUCGUAAAGGCAGUGGAAACUGGAAGACUAGAGUGUAGUAGGGGCAGAGGGAAUUCCUGGUGUAGCGGUGAAAUGCGUAGAGAUCAGGAAGAACACCGGUGGCGAAGGCGCUCUGCUGGGCUAUAACUGACACUGAGGGACGAAAGCUAGGGGAGCGAAUGGGAUUAGAUACCCCAGUAGUCCUAGCGGUAAACGAUGGAAACUAGGUGUGGCCUGUAUCGACCCGGGCCGUGCCGAAGCAAACGCGUUAAGUUUCCCGCCUGGGGAGUACGCACGCAAGUGUGAAACUCAAAGGAAUUGACGGGGGCCCGCACAAGCGGUGGAGUAUGUGGUUUAAUUCGAUGCAACGCGAAGAACCUUACCAGGACUUGACAUCUACUGGAAUCUCCUGAAAGGGGAGAGUGCCGUAAGGAACCCAGAAGACCAGGUGCUGCAUGGCUGUCGUCAGCUCGUGUCGUGAGAUGUUGGGUUAAGUCCCGCAACGAGCGCAACCCUCGUCGUUAGUUGCCAUCAUUAAGUUGGGAACUCUAGCGAGACUGCCGGUGACAAACCGGAGGAAGGUGAGGAUGACGUCAAGUCAGCAUGGCCCUUACGUCCUGGGCGACACACGUACUACAAUGCGAGGGACACAGAGCAGCCAACCCGCGAGGGAGAGCGAAUCUCACAAACCCUGGCACAGUUCAGAUUGCAGGCUGCAACUCGCCUGCAUGAAGGAGGAAUCGCUAGUAAUCGCAGGUCAGCAUACUGCGGUGAAUCCGUUCCCGGGCCUUGUACACACCGCCCGUCACACCAUGGAAGUGAGCCACGCCCGAAGUCAUUACUCUAACCCUUUCGGGGGAGGAGGGUGCCGAAGGCGGGGUUGAUGACUGGGGUGAA
rnacentral:rRNA from 1 species